rnacentral:lncRNA from 1 species
ACCAGUACUCCAGAGGAAAUGGGCAUAGUUAGCUGCAUAAUAUGAGUUGCUGGGGUCUGCAGAUAUGGCUUCUAGAUAGGUCUCUUCGGCAGCCCAGAGGUCUUUCCUCACUUGCCAAAGGAAGCUUGCAUAUUUAUUCAGUGCCUCUGCAUCCUUGGGCUCUACUUUUGCUGCCCUCUUAAAAAAUUCCUCUGCCCUGUUGUCCCAAGAAAGGAGUGAUGAACGAAUGCAUCAGUUCACUAAAUUUGCGCUUGUUUGCAUGAUAUAAUUUGCAAUAAGAUAGAACACCAGAAAUGAUGUAAAAUUUGAAGUCUAUGUUAAUUCAGGGCCUACAUAAAGAAGAAGACUUUUCCUUAGCCACCUCAGCAAUAUAAAAGCAGAAGAACAAAGCAACAACUAGAAGACCUUCUACAUUGAUUGUUUCCCUUUAGCAGAGCGUGUAACACGAUGCUCAAUGACUUUAUUCCAAGAUAUUGUUCUCGCUAAGAGAAGGAUGGACUCCAAGGUCACCACACACUUCUCUAUCAAGAAACUACCCAGACAAAAAUAUAGGCAAAACGACACCCUCUCUAAAAGUCAAGCAUCUUGUGCACUGCACAGCAGUCUGACAUUAGAACCCACAAGUAAUAGACAAAAAUAAUAUCUCUCUUACUCUUUGAUUUUGGUUUCACUUGUUCAAAGAAUUACGUGAUUGAAAACAUUUGCCAAUUCCAAAGGAUUCGUUAAGUAUGGUCUAAAUAGAGAAACUGAAAUCAACAGCUAAGAAAGCUGGUAAUGAAUAGGAUAUUGAAGGAAGAAAAUCUCUACCUGUCAUAAUCUCGAAUGACCAAGUAAAGAAAUUGAGCAUAGUUGGCUAGCAAAAGAGAAUUGUUGGGCUCUUGUGCCAGUCCCGUCUGAUAUAGCAACUCUGUUCUGAAGUAAUCUGCAUAGUCGUCUGAUUCAAUCUUUGCAUUGACCGGGGAAACAAAUCUCUGCAUUGUCUCAUGAUCCAAAGCUUCAUCUCUAGAUGCAGACUGCAUUUUGGAAGCUUCUUCCACCAUAGAAUUCCACAAUCUCAUCUCUUCUUCUCCAGUCACCUGUCCAGAAACUGAAACUUCUUCACUAGUCCUUGAAGGGUUGCCAACAGAUGACACCCCAUCAGGAACAAUUGUCUUAUGAUAAUCGGACGACAUCCUAUCAAACCUUCCAUCCCCAUCUGUACCACUAGCAGCAGGCCUAUGUUUUCCACCACCACCAUUACUUCCACCAAUUGAAGUAGUCUUUCCACUCGAAGAAGACACCGAAAAUGACUUAAUAAACGAAGAAUCAAACUUACUGUUUCCAUGGCUUUGAUCUCCAACCUCAGAAACAGAUUCGGCGGAAGCAGCACAAACCUGGGGAUGGGGGGUGGCAGCUAAGGCAGUAUUGUUAGCCAUUGAAUGAACACUAUAAUUCGCAAGCAAAAUCAUGACAUACACCAUUAAAGUUGGUGUAUGCGAAAACACUUGCUGAAACAACCACACAAAAGAGGCAUGCAUUUCCUUCUGAACUCUCACCAAAAUCCCUUGUAAAUCCUCGUAAAAGAGCAAUUCCCUCAUCUGUAAAGUAUAACUCUGAAGUUCUCGAAUUAUAAACACCAUCGAUGAAAAGGCCUUCUUCACAGAACAAUAGGCGGAUUCACCAACUUCUCUAAACCCCUCUUCCCAUUGUUUUUUCCUCUUUAUAAUCCUAAGCGAAAGAGGGAGCUCUACACUAUUGGCCUUCCGCUCUAUACUAGCAGGAAUUAUCUCCUCUCUUUCAGGCCAAUAGGGGGGCUCCAGAGGAUGAAAGGAUUGAUCUUCUAAAAGUACAGCGUCACCAUUUCUACUAUCAUAACUUUCUCGGGUGCUGCUUUCAGGCCGAUUUUCAGCCUCUUCAGCUUGUUCAUCAUCAUCAUCAUCAGAUAAUUGGAAUCUCAACGCUAAGUCCUGAAUUUUUUUGGAAAAUUCCUCGUCUGAAAAGGAAUCGAGAGUGGCACUGCAAACCCUUCUAAUAAAACGUGGUUUAGAUUUUUGUUCUUGCUCCCAAGAUCCCGUCCUAUAGAGGUUAGAGCAGGAGUUUCCAAGAAAAUUUGAUCGUCCUACGUAUCGGCACAUGCUGAAACUUCGCCUUUUUGAUGAAGGAGAAGAAAUUGCAGAAGCCAACGUCUGUGAAGAAGAUGGGGAGUGAGGAAACGAAGGCUGUGACCAAUGAAAACACGUUGGUGCUACUUUAACUCCCAUUAUACUUUUCUCCUCCUAAAGAUCUUCAGACCCCAGAAACUAAACCUGGAGACGACUAAACCUAAAGGAGUUGUAUAUAUUCUGAUUCCGAUUCCAGAUUCAAUUGAGUAUUCUUCUUAAAUUAGUAAAACCUGCAAAAACAAGAGAGAGAUAAAAAUUAAAAACCGGAGAGCAAGGAGAUUAAAUUAAUUUGAAACCUAAAAACGGAAAAAAAAAAAAAACUUGCUUCUAAAUCAUUAGACCCACUUGGAAUCUCGCAUUAAAAUCGGAUCACAGUACAGCGAUCCAAGAAACAAGUCGUUGGCACGAAAACUUAUGAAGAAAUGAAGACCUUAAGUAAUUAUUAGAAGUACAGAAGCAAAUACUUACGUUGCAAGUGCAAGGCAUAAACGCAGGGGAGGCCGGGUUCAGGAGGCGGUCGGUGAGGAUGAAUACCCGCCGAUCAAGUGGAGUUGGGGGGAGAAGUGUCAGAAAAAGCGAAGUACGAGCGCCGUACCUUCACUUAUCAUCAGGACUAGGCGAUUUGAGGUCUUAUUUAUAUACUACUACCACUACCACUAUUUGUGUGUGUGUGUAUAUCUAUGUAUAUAUAUAUAUAUUAUUACAAUUGCUUAAAAAUGGAAGAAAAGGGAAAUGGCUUUUUGGGGUUCGAUAAAAAAAUCUCAACUUGUCCUCCAACUCCAGGCGGUGAAUAAUAAAUAUUUCGAAAUACUAGUAGUGGCACUUACGAUGAAUCCAAGAGUGCGUGAAUGAGAAUGUAUUCGGAUCUGAAUCUAUAGAUUCUAUACUGUGUGCGAUUCUGUACAGUAGUGUACCAAUACGUAUGAAGAGGAAUGGCUUUUGGAUUCAUUCUAUGUGUGCAUACUCUAUAAGUAGAACAGACAUCUCAGCAUCUCACUUUAACCCCUAAAAAUAAAUUUUUUUUUUAAAUAUUCUUGUUUGGAAUGCCAUUUUUUCCCAAAAUUUUUUACUUUUUUUGUGAAUAUAUAUUUUUAAUACAUUUAAUUGUUACAAUAUAUUUUUCUGUAAAAAUUUUAGAAAAUAGCAAUUCAAACGGUUGGAUGGUGAAAAUAACUACUUACAACUACACUGAGUGUAAAUUUUUUUGAAACCAGUGAGAAAGGGUGCUAGGUGACUUGUACAAAUUUUUGUAAUAUUUAUUAAAUGGGCUUAAUUUUAGCUCCAGCUUGUAUUUAGUGUCUCUCUAUAAUGGUUAAAUUGACUAUAAGUCACUCUUAACAUAAGUGAUUCUCAAUCUAUCUUGUUCACAAACAUUAUUGCUUGUUCAAAUUUUUCCACUACAUUUUUCAAACAUGUACUGAUAAUUUGAAAAAAAUAAAAAAUCACAAAACCAUUUUUGGAUAAAUCGUCAAGUUGCCAUCCAACCAACAAAAUAAUUGCAAAUAAAAUUUUAUUUGUUUGGAAAUAUUUUACAACCAACCAAAUGGAUUUAAAAGGCUAAAAAUUUCAACUUAGGGAAUUUUGUUUCUUUCUUUUUUUUUUUUAUUUAAGUCAUGUCAUGGAUUCAUGAAAAACUGCCUCCCUAGCAUAUUAUUAUGAAUUUGCCUGAGUACUUUCUCGAAAUUUAGUGAAUCACACAAGCUAUGAUCCAAGUUUAGAAAUGUGAAGGAAAUUGAAAUCGAGGGCCUAACAGAAACAAAUUUAACUUUGGGUCACAUUCAUAGUUUUUUGUAUUUAUAGAAGUUUUUUUUUUUUAUUGUUUUGACGAUGUGUUUAUAGAAGUUAAGUACUUUAAGUUUUUGGCUUAAAAAAAAUAACAGAGAAUUAUUAAUCGUGAAUUUAUGGGAGUACGAGUUUGGUUUUUGGUAGUCCGAGUCAGAUGCCAAGUUGUGAGAGGAUGCAAAGACUACUGAGUCUGACGCGGCAAAGUUCACGGGGUUUUAGAUCUUAUCUGGGCAUUGAGCAUGUGCCACGUGUUCACACCGACCUCAUUUAAUGGGAACUCUUUUACUUAUACAUAUUUACCUUCACUAAACAGUCUAACAACACCGUCUUGUUACUGUUCUCCCACGUUUCUACAAUUAAUUAAAUUGCCUUAAUUUCUAAGUACAAUAUAUUUUUUUGUUCAAAUAGUUCCCACAUUUAUUGGGGUACUUCAGAAUUGGGACAUUGAAGAAUAAAUUUUUUUGAGGAGAUACAUUAAAACUCUUUAUUUUCUUUGAAAAAAAAAAAAAGGUUACAAGUGAAAAGUUUGAUUACGCAUUUGGUAAUUUAAGGAAAAUUAGAAUGAUUACAUGUAUAACUCGAGAUUAAUUGUCAUUACCAUUUGUGCUGCUCCGCACAUGGAUGCGCAUAUAGAUGAGGAAGGCCAAUUUGGUGGUUAAGACUUAAAGAAGUGCCUUUUGACACUUUUUCACUAAAACAAGAAAUCAAUCAUGUGACUCUAAGGUGGCAUCGUUUGCCAAUGGUUCCACUCCACAUGCCAAUUAGUGAUUAAUUUUAACUGGAACACUAGGUUAAUUUUUUACCGCAAAACAAGAAUAAAAUAUGGUGUGAACAAUUUUGGUUGGAUUUGUUUGAUGAGACUUGAGAGAGAGUCAAUGCUACGCGAUUGUGUUUGAAUUGUAAAUUAUUCGAGAUGAUUUUAAAAAAUAUAUUUAUGAUAAAAUAAAUAAAUUUAUACAAAUAAUCCAAAAACAGUCUAGUAUUUGCACGAUUGCAAGUGGACUUAGAUUUUUACUGCACUGUUGAAAUGCAAUUUGACAAGAGUGUCCAAUUAAUUCAUCAGCUAGCGUUCCUUUUCUUAAAGUGUACAAACCACUCAUAUGCAAAACCGAUCUAUAUCGAGUUCCACUUCAACAUCCCCCGCACCCCAACCACACAAUUACCCCUCCAUGUUCCAAAAGAAAAUGGUUUACCAAAAAAUGUCUAUUUUCGUAAAUCAUACAAGAAAACUUGCAUCUAUUGUUCAGGAUUUGACAUUUUUAUUAGGUAAUAUUUCCAAUCUCCUUUCAUUUCUCUAUUUCCCGGUUUUGUGCGGUUAAAUGACUUUAAGUGUUAUUCCAAAUAAGUCUUUUAAGUUUUUUUUUUUUUUUUGGGUUAAAGAAGAAAGAUAUAUAUGUUGUACUAGUACUUACUCAUGGUGCUUGCGAGACUGAAUUGGCAAUAGGCAAUUAGCCAUAGUACCUUUGAUCUGCGUUUGAAUUGAUAUUUUUUGAAAAACAAGAUUUUCAUAUUUACUGUUAUCGCAAUACACAAAAAAAAACAUAAAAAAUAAUCUAAAAAAUACCAAAAAAAAAAAAGUUUAAAAAAUAACCUCAUUUACAGUAAAAGUUUUUCACCUGUACUGUUACAGUAAAAUAUUUUAAAAACACCAUAAAAAACAGAUAAUCCAAACGAAGCAGAAUUUUGAACAAUAUGUCAAUAUUACUAUGGGACUUGACGUUAUUCGCAUAUCUUAAUUGGAAGCUGAUCGGAUUUGGAGAUAUUCACAUAUAGUUAUCGACAACUUGUAAAGAAUCUCCAACCUCUGGCUGAAAUAGUCAUUGCGAGGCACAUAACAGCUGUGUGCUUAUUUGGGGUGCUUCCCAUUCAGGAUGAUAAUAACCGCUUUUUCCAUUUUGAUUCCGAAGAAUAUUUGUUGAUAGCUCUACUCGUUCAACAGCAGAGGAUUUCCAUUCAUGGCACUGGUAGGUAGAAACAUUACAUCUUACGUGAAGCAUAAACUACUGAAAAAAAAAAUAAAAAUUUCAUCCCUUGUUCAUUUAACCUGAAAUUAGAGAUGCGAAGAGUAAUACGCAAGCAUUAAUUUGUUCAGAAUAGCAUUUCAUAUUUCUUGUCUAGAUAUGUUGCCCUACUACUACAUCGGGGAAUUGUUGCUAUGUUUUCAGGAAAUCCCAAUUCGUAUCCUCAACCGUAAAAUGAGUAAAUUCGGCCGUGGAUAACAGAUGACAACAAUAAUAAUAUUAAUGUAUCAGGAAGGUUUUUGGGUGUAGAUUCACGCGGCUGAACGAUGUAUCAGGUCAUUAAUUCAAGGUGAGAUUCAUUCUCUUGAUUGGUCUGUUAAAGCGAACUCAAGCAACAAUGCCACUGGAACUGCUUUUAGAGUUUUAUAGAACGAAGGAGAGAUCAAUGUGAACAUCACGGCGAUAUUUUCCCAAACGAUUUUCAACUAUUUUACAACUUCAUCACUUUUUAUUUGGUGGGGAAAAAAUCACCACAAAUCAACAAACUUUUCACUGUAGCCCAUGCGGCCAAACUUGUACGUGAAGUUUUUGAACAUCGAGUUCAGCCAAACACGUUUGUUUGGAUAAGAGUUUAUUUGGAUGAUUUAUUUGAGAUAUUUACUGUAGCACUUUUUGUGAUGUGAUGUAUGUGAGAUAAAAAGGUGAUUGGGAAGAUAAAAAGGUGAUUGGGAUUUGUGAAAACAAAUUAAACAAACCAAAUUUGGCUUGUCCAAACAAACAAACCAAAGAUUGCUAUUUUCUAAAAUUUCUGCAGAAAAAUGAAUCGUAACGAUGUAAUGCAUAUAAAGUAAAAGAGUGAUUGAAAAAUGUAAAAUUUUUUUUUUUUUUUUGAAAAAAAUGGCAAUCCAAACAAGGCAGUUUUUGAAAAUAUUUUUUUUCAACAGUUUUGUUCAUGCAUCUUUUCAGCACAGAAGAAAUCAACGAGAAUGGAGGGCGUUCUAUAGCUAAGAGUAUUCGACAAGAAUGAACCAUCCAACGUCAUCCACUUGGAAAGCAACUGAACGAGAUCUUCUCUGCUUCUAUUAUAUGGUAAUUAGCAAUUAAUUUCGUUUACAUAACUCAAAGCUGUUAUACAGCGGCCGGGCGAUUAAACAUUUAUUUGCUUCCAUAUUUUACGAUCGUCGUUAUUUAUGAAAUUUCUGGAUCUGCUUGUUAUACGUGAGGCUAAAAACAAGGCCCUAGUCUGAUAUUAAGGAAAAUUUUAUAUAUAUGGGUAAGGAUUGACCCGGACACCCCUGUGUCGACAAAAAAAAAAAAAAAAAAAAAAAAGAGGGUACUUGCAUAUGGCAUAAAAAUUCUAAUGAACCCGUUUGGGUCAAUUACAUUUUUUUUUUUUUUUUGAGUUUUGAGAUUUUUUUUUGGUGUAAAAAAGUAGUAAUCCAAAGAAGGCCGGCCUUAAAGUUCCAGACAAAUCACUAAUCAAGAUGCAAAUUUUUGAGCUCUGGAAAUACCACGUGAUCACUAUGUUGUUGAUGGUUUAAUACAAUAAAUAAAUUAUUGUGGUGUUUCUUGUGCUUUCAAAAGGGUGCUCGAUUGCUUAUCUUCUCUUCUGUAAAAUAAUGCGCUUUCGUCCAAUCUGGAGUUUGAAUAUUUUACAAUAUCUUCGCAACUCGGGUGCUUGAUUGAUAUUGCUUAUCUUCUGUUAAAUAAUAAUGUGCAUCCGUCCGUUCUGGUGUUCUAUUAUUUUUCAAUAUCUUCACCACUGGUAACAACUCAUGAAGAAAAGACAUCAACACUGAAUUUUUGAACGGAAAUACUUCUCUUAUAAUCGAAAUUUGGAGCCUUUUUCCGCCGAAAAGACAUCAACAAUCAAUUUUUAAUGGGAGAACUUUUCCUUUCUCACACUAAAAGAAAUUUGGAGCCGUUCAUACCAAAAUAAAGGCAACUAUUGGGUGAUCAAAUCAUGAAUUUUAUGAAACAACAAUUAAAAAGAAUACCUAGUUGGUGCUGGGGGUGAGAAACCGACGGUCCAAAUUCGGGGCUCAGAAAAUGCUAAGCUGUAAGAAGGGGCCAACCCAACUUGGUUUUGUUGCUAUCAUGGGAGGUAAGCAGGAAGUGAACAGUGAUGGUGACUGCAGCGGCAAUCGGAUGUUCUUGGGCCGUGAUAAUUUUUUUUAAGAGCAACUCCAUUCUCUAAUUGGUUUACUCCUGAUAUCCUGUCCUGUCGAUUUUUGGCUUCUUGAAUAAUGACUCAUUUUGUAUUGUAUGAAGAUUCAGGAGCAUGGUUUCCAUCAAAAUUUGACAUUAGGCACGAACAAUGAGUUCCAUUUCAAUGAGGGAGGAAAAAAAAAAAAAGAGUCGUAAUAGAAUGUUUAGAGAAAAUUUACGGUAUGUCUUAAUUUUUAUUUUUUUUUGGAGCAAAUGUGGUUUCUUAUUGAUGAUAACCAAUGGAGAUUACAGUCAUCAAGGGAAAUUCCAGAUUUUGUUUUGGCCAUCACGGGAUUUUCUCUGUUUUGUAUGAUCAUGAGUUGAUUGAAUUUACCCAAGCUUAAAAUUGGGAGGGGCCAUGGCACCUAAAACAAGUUUAAUGAAUUGAUCUCAGUCAUGGAAAGAAAAAAGGACAACUCGAGAGCAUACUCCUGUCUAUACCAAGAUGCCUGACGGUGACGGGCUAUCGUUUAGCUUAAUGCUCUUAUCCUUAUCUAUUCUAAUCUGAUGUUGACUCUAAACAAUAAUUAACUCUCACGGUCCAAAGAAAGCAAUGGUCCUUCCAUAGAACUCUUUUCUCCCUUCUCUCCCUUUCAUCCCUCUCGUGGGGGAGAGACCAAAUCUGGUCUUUCCCUAUAGGAGGAAGUACUCUUUUAUAAUUUUUAGUUUUUUUUUUAUUUGAAUAAAUUCUCUCAUAAGAUUUCUUAACGAGUGAUUCGUCUCUCCUAGGAUCUCCUAGUGAGAGCUUUUUCUCUUCUAAAUUAUUCUAGUGAGAGUUUUAUUUUUUCUAGAUUUUUCCUUGUGAGAGUUUUUUAGGUUUUUAUGUUUGUGAAAUUUGAGAUUUUGUGGAUUUAGAAUCUAGUUUCUCAAAUUUGUAAUUUUUUCAUUAUUAUCAAAUCAAAAUCUUUUUGGGCUCGAACCAGUUUUACUCAGAUCUGAUUGUCAGCAUAUAUGUUACGGGAUUCAUCCGGAUGGAAGAUACAUAAGAGCAUCAAUAUUAUCUUUAUUUGUAUUAUUUUUUUAGAUCUGUUAUAUCUAUUAAUUUCAUAUCUAUAUGUAUCUGUGUCAUGUUUGUUUGAUAUAUUUUUAGCCAUUAAUGCAGAUUUGUUUGAAUGAAAUGACCUUUUCUAUAUAUAAUAUAUAUAAAAAUUCUCACGGUCCAAGAUCAGAAUGCACAGCAACUAGAACAUUUAAAACGAGGUGAUAAUUGUCCGGACAAUUGAGUAAUGAUUCAGAAAAGAAGAUAAAAGUAUAGCAUCCCCACUUAACUGAGAUAACUAUGUUGUCUAUCAACUUAAUUUUCCCCUUUGUCCAUGACAUGGGGGCAUAAAUUAGAGGGUCAAUUAACUUGGUUUCGCACCCCCUGCGUGAUGCAUCGAGUUACGAGUUUAAGACCUCCCCUACACACAUUUUUUGCUAGGGGGUACCUAAACACGCACAGUUCAUCUGCCCAACAACAUAUAUAGCUACCGGAAAAUGCAUGAGCACGUUCGCACGUUAUUAAUCAAGGUCAGACCUUCAAUUUCUUAAUAAAUAAUCUGUCACGUCGCAUGUUAAAAAAAAAAUAAAAAUUGUAGUAUGGUUUCUUCAUGAUGAUCACUUUGCUUGCUCGUACAUGGAAAUUGCGAUCAAUGGCAAGAUGAUGCCUAACUGCAUAACAGCUGCCCUACCAAGAAUUACCCCGCUGUUCAUAUAAGAGUGGUUUUAGAUCAAAGCCUGAAUUGUCUGGAUGAAAGUUUCAGAAGGAUAAAAUUUGACAUAAGAUGCGGGAUCACGUUCAUAUAAUCAAGGAGAUAAGUAUUGUGAAUAGUAGUCACGCUGGACAAAAAAAACAGUUCAGUCACAAAGGCAGAUGAUGAUGAUUGAUUGACUGUACUCCGAAAAUGCUGCAGUUGGGUGACAUGUAGAACAUUCUGGGUUGAUGUUGCAUGAUAUUUUUCACGUGAGAUGUUCAUAUUUUGUACUUGAAGCUGAAGGUUCUGAUUAGUUUUAUAACAUGGAUGCACAUUUCAAUUAUUAUCAACUUACACGUAUCGUUUCCUGCCUCGGUCACCAAAAAAGAUAGGAGAAACAAGUAGAACGUUUCACAAGUUGCCGUGCAUGGUUGCAGAGUGUUCGAUUCACUGUAACAGUGAAUUAUCCUGAUGCAAAUGGACCAAUCUUUACAUGCAGACUGUUGAUGAUUAAUUGCUCGGAAAUACCUACUCAGCAACGAGGAACAUAAAGAAUAGCUGGACUUGUACAGUUUGGCGGUGCAGGUCUAGACUCCAGAGUCUAGAGGUGGCAAUGACAAAAAAGCCCCCCAGAUUUUUCAUUUUUUGCGUGUGUAAUGUUCACCAGAUAAAAUUUGUCUACAACACAUUAAUUAUUGUUAGAAAUUCGUAGGCUUGAACGGUGAAAAGGAUUUUAUGUCAUUACAAAUCAUUUGUUAAGGUAAUUAGUGGUAAACCAAGGUAUGUGUACUUUUAUAGCCCUCAAUAAUAUAUACUUUUUUAAAAUCAGCCCUGCACCAUUAUUCAUUGAAAAUCACUUAAGUUGAAUUAAAAGAUGUUUUGUUCGAGAGCAUGUAGAAAAUUAUUUUUAGAAAUGUCAGACGGAGACAUCACCUUUCAGCCUCCACCUGUCUUUGGUAUUUGAUAUUUUCCCUUUCCUCGCAUUAUGAGUGUGUGCAUGCAUCAGAAAGAAUUGGUGGGCAAUUUAUGAAAAUGCAUUACAAGAACUAUUCUCCAUGAAAAGCUAGAUUGAUAAUCGGUAAUCGAGAGAUUGAAGAAUCGUCUAGACUUGGAUGAUAGGCAGCAUAUGAGAAAAUGUCGACAGGUAACUUGUGAGCAGGUUUGGUUAAAUCUCAAUUCAAAUUCGAUCAAUAUAAAGCGUGAAUUGACUUGGUGAGCGGGAUUAAUCGAGUCGAGUUUAUAGAUAGUCUGAUAGUUAACUCAUUAAACUAGUUUGAAUUUAUAUAUUUGUAAUAAUAAAAUUACAUAUAUUCCUCUAUAUUUUUAUUAGUUAAUUAGGGUGAAAUGUCAAUUUUAUCCAUUUUAAAAAUCACAAAAAUUUUCCUUUCCCAUCCGCCAUAUAAAUUUUUUCUGAACACAACCAUUUCACAUCUAACUCUUUUGUUUCCUACUAUAUGCAAAUUACCAUACAUUUUUUUUUAAAUUACCUUAUUGCUUUAAGUUGACCUAUUCUUAGAGGAAAAUACAAUAAAACGAUCAUAUACAAUAGUUGGAGACGUACGCUUUAACAUGGUUCUCUUCAUCUCUUAACAACAAUAACAUGAAAUUCUCUGUAUAACGGGGGGAACAAGCUGCUAACACCCACACCGCGUGCCGUGUAUGUACAAUCGUACACUAGUGAUAUUUGAACUUCCGUUUGGAUUAGUCAUUUUUCCAAAAAAAAAAAAUUCAAAUACAAUGUUACAAUAAUAUACAAUAACUCAAAAAAAUCUCAUUCAUACAAUAUGUCAAAUAUUUUUAAAAAAUUUUAUAGUAAAAAACUUUCAUAUACAUUACUACAGUAACAUUUUUGCAAAAACACCCCAAAACAGCUAAUCCAAAUGGAGCCGUAGUUAUCUGAAUAUUAAACUGUAGUUCUCAUACAAAUAAUGAUCGAUUUUUGUUUUAUUCAAUUUAACUCACUCCCGAACCAAAUAAAUGAUCAAGCAACUGUUUCUCUCUUGCAUUAUUAGGUGGCGUUUGGUUCGCACAUUGGAAUCGGAUUCAGAUUCGGAAUCGGAUAUCUUGGGUUUGGAAUGAAGUCAUUCAUUCCAAUACAUUUGUUUGGUUCAAGUACUUGGAAUGUGUAUCAUUAUUAUAAUUGAUGUUUGGUUUGUCGACUCUUUCGAAAUAGAAUAUAAUAAAUAUAUUAUAAAUCACAUCGUAAAUGAUAGUUAUUGGCUCUUUGUAAAUGGGAUAUAAGAAAUUUUCACUAAUUAAAUAUAUUAGUAUAAAUGUAUUAGUAAAUUUAGUCUAACUGGAUAAAAAUUUCUAUUAGUAAACAUGUAUAAUUAUUAGUAUAAUUGAUAAUAUUAAUUAUAUUACAUAAAUUAAUAUACAUUAUAUAAUACAUAUAACUAAUAAUAUUGUUAUUAUAAGUUUGUAACUAAUUAAAUUAAAUAUUAUAUAUAUAAUUAAAUAUAAAUAUACAAAUGUUAUAAUAUAAAUAUAUAAUUAUUAUUAUAUAAUAUAUACAAAUAUUAAUUAUAUAAAUAUUUUAUAUAAAUAUAAUAUAUAUUACAUAUUAAAUAUAGUUAUUAUAUAUUAUUAUAUUUAAAAUAAUAAUAAUAAUAAUUAUUAUAUAACUUAUUAAUAUUACAUACAUGUAUAUAUUAUAAUUAUAUGCACUAUAAUAUACAUUUAUAAAUAUACAUAUAUAUUAUAAUAUAUUAUUAUAUAAUAUUAAUAAUAUAUAUAUAUAUAUUAUAUAAGUAUAAUUAUAUUUAACUAAAUAAUUAUAUAAUAUAAUAAUAUCAUUAUUAUAAUUUUGUAACUAAUUAAAUUAAAUAUUAUUUAUAUAAUUAAUUAUAAUUAUACGAAUGUUAUAAUAUAAAUAUAUAAUUAUAAUUAUAUAAUAUAUUAAUAUUAAUUGUACUAAUAUUUUAUAUAAAUAUAAUGCAUAUUAAUUAGAUAUAUUAUUAUAUAUUAUUAUAUUUAAAAUAAUAAAUAUAAUUAUAAUUAUAAUUAUAUAAUUUAUUAAUAUCAUAUACAUGUAUUUAUUAUAAUUAUAUGCACAUAUAAUAUACAUUUAUAAAUAUACAUAUAUAUUAUAUAUAAUAUUAAGAAAUUUAUAAUAUACAUUAUAUAAAUAUAAUUAUAUUUAACUAAAUAAUUAUAAUAUAUAUAUAUUUAUAUAAUAUACUAAUAUUAUAAUAAAAUAUAUAAUUAUUAUAAAAUUUAUAAUUAUAAUAUAUUAUAUAUAUGUAUAUAUUAUAAUAUAAAUAUUAAUAUUAAUUAUACUAAAUAUUAUGUAAUUAUAAGAUUUUGGAAUCACACUUGGGUUUUGGACAAAACCCACCCUUUUACUAAGGAAUGGAGGGAUGCCAAAUUUUUAGAAAUCAUUCCAAAAUUUCAAUUCUCAUACCAGUGAACCAAACACCAAUUAUGGAGUUUAUUCCAUUCCUUCAUUCCGAUACCCUUUUACCAAACGCCCCUUUAGUGUUCCCUUAUGUCCAUCUGAUUUUGAGAUUUCGUAUUUGAUAUAAACAUUUGGAAAUUGUUUAUUUGGUUGGAAACAAAAAAAACGUGCACAAUGCAAAUAACAUUUAAAUAUUCCAAAUUAUUUUUCUGGUUGGAAAUUAAUAUUCUGCCAAGACAAGGACACUAUGGUAAUUUGACAUGUAAAAUAUCUGAGGCUCUCGAGCAUCCAUAUCGUUUUCAACAUUCAAUUGCGGGUCAUUUUCAACCGGGCCAUGUUGAAAAUUCCAUUGUUCCCACAACAAUGAAUUUUUAGUUAGCGGACCAGAUCCAUUCAUGUCCAUAUAAAUCCAACUGUAUUUCGACGGGAUGAAAAUUGGACGUUAUUAUGAUUGAGCUGUUGCUAUUCGGCUUUUGUGGGCGACGCACGGCAUUUGAUAACUGUGUAUCAAUCUUUCGAAUGGAACGACUGAGGACAUGGAAGGUAACAACUCAAUUUUAUUUAUUUUUUAUCGCGAUGAUAAUAUUUGUAUAAUCUACUCUAAUAGAGUCUAAGGAAAGCGAGAGUCCACCGAAUAUUUCGAUUGAAAAAAAUCACAAUUAAAUAGCAAGAUGGGAGGUCAAGGAUUCAUCCCACCAAGACAUUUAUGCCAUGUCUUGGUAAAUGUAGAUAGUGAUACCAAGAGCCCAAGAGGCUAUUGGCCACAACUCAACCAUAAUAAUGUCCAAUUUUAGUUCCUGCCCCCCUCCCCCCUCCCCCCUCCCAAAAAGAAAACAAAAAAGUCCUAUAAAAUUUAUCAUAUUUGUCAUCUUUUCUUGUUCUAAAUUAAUUGUCAUUAUUAAAAAUAUCAACUCUUCUUUUUUUUUUUAAUAAAAUUUUAUCUUUACACUUCAUGUGAUUCAAUGCUUAUUUUUUACAAUUAUCAAUACAUCAAAUUAAAAGCUUGCCAUCUACUAAGGAUAUAAGAAAAAAAUUUCCUACUAAUAGUAGUAUUAUACAUAAAUUGCCUGCUCUUUCAACGACGACAAAUUUUAUGAGACAGAGAUGGUAUAUAUUUUGUGGCACUGGAGUAGAACUUAUGUAAGAAUAGAACCAGACCAGCUGUGGAUAAUCUCAUUUUUCGUUACCCUCUCGAGCUUGGUUCUCGACGCUUAUAGGCUUGUGGCAUAGUUUGGUUCGUACUCGACUUGUGGUUUGAUCUCCAGAAAGUUUAGGUUUAACACUGCCUAAAGAUAUUGGAAAAAUUUGCAAGAAAACUGUUUUUGUUGUAAUUCAUGAUUACUUUCAGUCUUUCACUUUCAACUCUUGCGGGAAAAUAAAAAGCUGCGUAGGCUCGCUCCCUCUUAUUCAAAAAAAGAAAAGAUUUUUGGGCUUUUAAAGCUUGGGUUGCAGGCUUAAAAUAUGAUAUUCAUAUUCAGCUAUUGGGCCCUCUGGCCAAAUUCACAAUAAUUAAAUAUAAUGUAUAUUAAAUAAUGUUUCUGUGUUUAUACACUGGAAUGGUAUAUGCUUUUUCGAUCUCUUCUUCUUCAAGUAUCAUGAUCAGGAAAUGACAUGCACCUAUAAGCAUAAUUAUCCACUCAUGUUUCUGUGUUUAUAGACUGGAAUGGUAUAUGCUUUUUCGAUCUCUACUUCUUCAAGUAUCAUGAUCAGGAAAUGACAUGCACCUAUAAGCAUAAUUAUCCACUCUUCCAGCUUUUGGGCUAAAUGCUUGUGUUGCUUUUGAUUCUUUUCAUUUGUUAUACAUCAUCAACAAGAUCAAUCCUCAGUUAUUAAGGAAUCAGAAACUAGGUUUUAGUGCUCGUGUCAUCUGUUAACUAAAUCUCCAUAGGUGGCUUUGUUGAGUGUCAAACUAAAGUUGCCAAAAGGGGGUUUUAUUUAACCAUUUGGAAUGUCAAUGGUGCCCUGCCCUGAAACCAUGACUUUGAGAACAAAUAAUUGAUCGAUUAAUGCAUAAAUCCUUUCUCACAUUGCAGGUUUUUCAAAGGGAACCGUGCAGCGUUAGGUGAAAUUGCUAACCUUCUCUUCAAUGGAAAUGAGAAACAGGUGCAUGGAUUUGGAAGAAAAUCUGGACCUCUAGUAGCAGGGACUGCUUAUUGCCUUUCUUCUUGCAGCAUGAUCUUACUGAACAAAAUUGUCCUAUCAAGCUAUGCUUUCAGUGCUGGAAUUUCACUUAUGUUUUACCAGGUAUCUCGAAUUAGUAGUUCUGUGUUUCUUUUCUAUUAGUAAAAAAGGUUGUGCUAUAUGUCUGCACCAUUUUCCUUAAUGAUCUACUAAUUAUUGCUAAACUUUGAUUCUUCUAUUGUUCUCUUAUUAGAGCACAAUUCCGCUUUUCCUUUGCAUGAAUUAUAUAUCUUUUUGGGUGGAAUUCAUUUAAGGAAUCAGUGAACGUUGAUGUAGCUUAAUCGUUUGUGUUACUUUAUGCAGAAUUUUAUCAGUUCUCUUGUUGUUGUUGUUUUGGGUCUCUGUGGAGCUGUUUCAGUGGAAAAGCUAAAUUGGAAACUUAUUAAAGUCUGGAUUCCUGUUAACUUAAUAUUCAUUGGAAUGCUUGUAUCAGGCAUGUACAGGUACGUUCUAUUGUGCUGUAAUGGCUGUCACAGCUGGAAAAGCAUCACUUGUGCAUUCUAGUUUGGAAAAUUUUCUUAGGGAGAUUUUUUUUCAUAUCAUUGAGCCAAGGAUAUUUCUUGUGAACCUUUUCAGUCUGAAAUACAUAAAUAUUGCAAUGGUGACAAUUCUGAAGAAUGUGACAAAUAUUUUAACAGCAAUUGGAGAAUUUUAUCUUUUCCGGAAGCGUCAGAAUCACAAAGUGUGGACUGCGAUGUUUCUUAUGGUACUUACAUUCUUUCCUAUGAGUGUGAUGCUUUUAAACUAAUUGCCUAUGGAUAUGAUUUUGGAAUCAAGUAGUUUAUGUUAUCAUUCUUAGUAGAGUACUUAACUGCAAGUCCAGUUAUUCCAUUGUCCCUAGUAUCCAAAUUCUCAUCAAUAGUAAAGUAUGUCUUGGUAGCAGUAGGUCUUUUUGAACAGUAGUCUUCACAGGUGUUAUUUUUGAACAGUAGUCUUCACAAGUUAGCACCUGUGAGUAAGGGCAGUCUUAGACAAUGCUGUUGUGCUUUUUCAACUCAUUUCGAAGAGGUAUACCAUAAGAAUUGCUCCACUGAAUCUGGAAAAGGAUUUUCUUUCUGCUCCUUUAAGAGUUCUAUUAUGAAAUCAAAAUCUGUUAAAUCUUGUAUAAAAACUAAUCAGGUGAUUGUUUUGGGUAUAGCAGUUGAGGCUCCAUUGACCUGAAUGUACAAGAAAAAUUGAAACUUUUGAUAUAUGACCUCUCGCAUGAAUUUUAGCUGUUCUGGUACAUGCUUGAUCUGCAAUUCAAUGAAAAACUUUAUUGUCCCACGAUGUUACCUUUCUGCUUUUGCUACUACUCGUGUGUUUCAAACCUGUUAUCUGAAUCACUCUGCAAUUUUACUCUUCCACGCCUCGCCCGGUCUAAAAUAGUGGGGGAUAUUGUGAGCAAGGGAGGGGAGAAAAUUGGGGUUCACAGUGAAAUCUCUGAUAGUUUGUGUUUUUUCAUUGCAGAUAACAUCUGCCAUAAGUGGAGGAAUAACAGAUCUCUCAUUUGAUGCCACGGGUUAUGCGUGGCAAACUUUGAACUGCAUUUUAACUGCAAGUUACUCGGUAUACUUCUUUAACUCGGACAGAGAAACCAAUUGACAAAUCUGAAAUAACAUUGACAACCUGAAGUAUUCUCCCGUGCAUUUACCUAAAAUUUUGUGUAUUUUCAUGCUGCAGCUCACUUUGCGACGAGUUAUGGACAGAGCUAAGCAAUUGACAGAAUCUGGAUCACUUAAUGAAGUUUCAAUGGUGUUACUAAACAAUUCAUUAUCUUUACCAUUUGCAGUCUUGUUGAUUCUCGUGUUCAAUGAAUGGGAUUAUGUAAUUAAUGCGUAUGUGCCUUCAUCCUCAAGCUGUGUUAUUAUGCUAUUUUGCACCUCUUUGAUAAGCGGUUACUUUUUGUGCUAUACUAGAGGGCGGAGGGGAGAAAAUACUACUAUUGUUUAUGACUGUUUUAACUGGUGCAGGAAUGUAAUAAGGAUGCCAAUGUUUUGGGUUGUUGCGACAGCUAGUGGGCUGCUUGGACUUGCUAUCAGCUUCAGCUCUAUGUGGUUUUUAAAUCAAACUAGUCCUACGACUUACAGGUACUCAUGCGAAAUUAUCUUGGGGUAUGCCUGAUAUACAAAUCAGAAGAAAAUCGAAUAUUGUUUUAAGCUUUCUGCCUUCUCUUAAUCUGACAUUGUUUCAGCUUACCACAUCUUUUUUUUUUGCUUAAUCGCAGUCUGGUUGGUUCCUUAAACAAGAUUCCUAUUUCUAUCGCUGGAAUCAUAGUUUUCAGGGUUCCUGUCAAUUUUCCCAAUUUCUUCAGCAUACUAUUUGGUCAGUUUGCUGCCAAUCCUAUUUGCUAAAAAUUUUCGUUUGUUAUUUUGUUUGAUACUGUGAGGCUAACUCGAUACAGUUUUCAGGUUUAUUUGCUGGAAUAUUUUUUGCCAGGGCAAAGAUGUCGUAAUACUUAACAGGCCAAAGGGAAGAUGAAAACUCCUGGGAGAGUAUAUAGAGUUUCCCAUAAUCAAACAAAAAGUUGGAGUUAUUGUCCCAAAAAAAAAAAUCAAAUUAUAACUGAGAGAUGAGCAAGUGCAACGCCUCAAUAUAUAGCAAAGCUAAUUUAUUACUCUAGAAGCACUAGGCAACUUAGAAAAUUUUUUUUUCCAGGGCGGAAUUUAGAAAGAAAGCUGUUCUCGUAAUCAUCAGUUUACUAGUCUUCAGCACAUUCUCUAAACAAAGGUUUAAAAUGGUGUUAAACAUAUAUAGUAAUUCGUUUUGCAUCUCUGAUCGAGUAAUUCUACUUUCCGUUUACUCUUCCCUAUCGCUUCGUAAAUUCAUCCCAUUUACAUUUGGCAUAUGUUUCUCGUAUGCCUUCUUGUUGCGUCAAAUUAUUUUUUCAAUUUGGUUAUUUUGGAAAAGAGGUCAUUUUCGGGCUGACAAAUAUAAGGAAGCUUAAUAAUAGAAUAAAAACAUGGGCUUUGAUUUGUUUUAUUCUUUGGAAGACCCACAAUAAAAGCAAUAUAAUUAUAUUGGAAUAUUGUAUAAAUAACCUUUUGGAGAUCAAAGCAGGUGGAACAAUUUAAAAUAGAGUAGCGACUAGUUGUGCGGUAUUUCUCAAGAUAUUAUUGAGAUUUGGGAGUUCAUUAAACCUCCUCAUACUUUGCCUACUGUCCUAAAAAGUUAAAUAAAAAUAAAAAUUUAACUUCGACCUUUUAUGGACUGUGACGUACCAUAAAAUGAGCUUGAAGUACAACAGGUCUACGGAUAAAUGGAGUCAACUCAAGGACACAUCUUUAAGUAAAUAUUCAAUAAGAAAAACCUAAUUUAUGACACUAAAACCUCCUAGUGCACAGCACGAGCAUUUACUUGAAACGCUUGUCAACUUCUUCCAUAAAAAUAUAUUAAUCAAUAAACUAAUUAAAGUUUAGCAACACUAAACUUCAAUUGAAGCCACCAAAAAAAGGUAAUGGUACUAAUUUUCCAGAAUGUCAUUGAACAUGCUAAAUGCUAAAGGUACAGACAUGAUCCACCAACGUGAAAAAAAACAUUUUAAGAAAGGAAAAACUAUCUUAAGAAUUCGAAACCUGUAUUAUUCAGGAAAUAAUUUAUGAGUAUUUAUCAACAAUUGAACUAUUAAGAAAUUGGGCACGUGCGAAAAAAAUAUUUUGUUGGUUUGUUAGUGCUUUAUUUUUCUUUUCGAGCAAAAAAUAUGUUGUUUUUAAAAAAUUAGUGUAUCAUCCAACAAAUUCUGUGACGUGAAAAUAUUAAUUUUGAUAAUUGAUAAUUUGUUUAUUUCAUUAAAGUCUCUAUUACUAAAUGAUAUUGAAUAUAGGAAAACAUCUCUCGUAGUGAUGUCCUAUUUGAUUAUUUUUCCGUGGCCUGACGGCCAAUUAUAAAGCAACCUCUUUUGUUUUUAGCAUCAUUCUUUGACCCUGUUGAUGAUUUCUAAUAGUCAAACCAACCAUUGGAAACUUCAUUAAACGCGAUAUUAUGUCAAAUUUACUAAUAGCUUGCAUGAGCACAUGUCUCUGGUGAAUGGAAGAAUAAUAUUGUUUCAUGUAGCCCAAAAAAUUUAAUACUUUGAAAUGUUCAUUGUUGACAAUAACUUUAAUUAACGUGUAAAUCAUAGCAAAUCUUUUUCCCUCUAUGUUUUUGGUUUCGAAAUGAUAUAUUAUAGAAGUACAAAAGAUAAUCCACAAGUAUGAAAAACAUUUUAGAAGGAAAUGUUUAAAUAUCGAAUCGGCAUAUACUGGAUGAUACUCAUUCUUUAAAUUGUGCUCGUAAGAAAAAGUUUAAUAAUUAUAUAUAAAAAGUAAAAAAUAUAUAUUAUUCAAUCACUAAAUAGGCCAAUACGAAAAAAGAAAAAGAAAAAGAGUGCUUUUCAAUUAUCACUAAUGUUCAUGGAUAAUUUAUACAAUUAGCAUGACAACAAAAUUACAAUAUUUCUAUUUCCCCAUUAUCUAAAGAGUUUAUUUAUUUGUUUAACAAACAAAGAGAACCCUUAUGGGAUUUCAUGUUUAAUAUUGUUCUCUUGAUUAUGUCUGAAUACAGUGAUUAGUCAACCCAAUGCUUGCCUUAAUAGACAGGUUGCACAGGCAAUUUUGCCUCAGCACUAAUCAACUUUUUCCCGUCAUGACUCAUGAGCAAGUAAAACACAAGAAAUAUAAAACCAAGGACAGGAGGAAAGCUGAAAAGGAACACCUACGCAGACAAGAUUGCGUGAUGCAUGGCAUGGAGAGGAGAAAAGAGGCCAAAAGGAAAGGUUGUUUUUCUUCAACCAAAAAAAGGGCCAAAAAAAAUCCACGUGACAAUUGAGACUAUCAAAAAUUGCAUGAAAAAAAAAAAUUUUCAGGAAACCUUCUUAUUAUAAAAGAAAAAAACUACAAAUCGAAGGUAAGAGAACCAUGGGAAGUUUAGCUCACUUGUCCUUUUUCUUUCGUCAUCACCGUCCAAAGGCCACCUAACUUUAUCCAAGAACCAACUCAAAAGUGUUCACACUAGAAAAGUAUUGGUGUUCAUGACCAAAAUGACCGAUCUUUUGCCAUCUCUCUCGACCCCAAACAAGAUUCUUGAGUAGUUAAAAGAGGGCAAGGAUCAUCAACUCUGCCAAUUUUAAUUUUUGUGCCUGAGCAAUUAGUUUGAAAGGUAAUGGUUGAGUAGUCAACCUCCAAAUUUUUUCAUUAGAAAUGUAUUAUUCUUCCUUAUAUAUUUUGAAAUAAGUGCACCUAAACUUUUUGAAUAUAUUGAUAUUAUUAGUGGAUACAAUUGAUUAUCUUUUAAGAUGGUGCUGAUUAACACAUUUAGUGUAUUACCAAAUCUUUUUCAUGUUGGUGAAAGUUUGACGUUUGAGAUGAUAUCAUCCUAAUUAUUGAAAAUUUGUGAUUAUUGUCAAAUAAUGACUAUAUAUUCCGUUAAACCUAGUCGUUUAGGACUGCCACUAUUAAUUUAAAAGAGUUUCAGAAUAUUAUUUAUCCUAAACAUAGAUCUUGCUUUUUUGCAAAAUGGUUGAAUAAUUAACUUCAAAAUUUCUUGGACUUAAUUAUGAACAUAAAUUCACCAAAACUUUUUGAACUUUAAUAAUAUUAGUGGACCUAGUGGAUUAAUAUUUUUCUAGAUGUCAUCGAUUAACACAUUUAUUAUACUACCAAAUCUUUUUCCAUGUCGACGAAUCAUUGACUUUUAAGAUGAUAUCAUCAAAAUCGAGAAAUCAGUAAUUAUCGUUAAAAUGAUGACGACAAUAUAUCGUUAGACUUUAUCGUUUAUGACCGUUAAUAUCAAAUUUCAAAUAUUUUAGAAUUUUAUUUAUCCUAAAAAAAAUGCAAAAUAGUUGAUAGAAAUUUAUUUUUCCUUUCUUGUUAUGAAAAUAAGUGUACCUAAACUUUUUGAAUGACAACAUCAUUGGUGAACCAAAGUGAUUAAAUUUUUGAGAUGGCACGGAUUAACACAUUUAUUAUGCUAUCAAUUUUUUUUUUUUAUUUUUUUAUGUUGACGAAGCUUUGAUGUUCAGGAUAACACCAUCCAAACUAUCGAGAAGUCGUUGAUUGUCAUUAAAGUAACGACUGUGAUGUACCAUAAAGCUUAAUCACUACUAUUAAUUUUUAAAAUUUUCAAAAAUUUUAUUUAUAUUUUUUAAAAACCUUAUUUUUUUAAAAAAAUGUUGAUAGAAAUGUAUUUUUCCUCAUUGCAACGAAAAUAUGUGUACCAAAAUUUUUUGAAUUUCAACCUCAUUUGUGGACCAGCUCAAUUAAUUUCUUGAGAUAAAUAACUAAUGCAUUUAUUAUGCUAUCAAAUACUUUUUUCAUGUCAACAAAUCUAUGAUGUUUGAUAUGAUGUCAUCCCAUUUGUCGACAAGUCCUAAAUUAUUGUUAAAGUAAUAACAACAAUAUACUGUUAAAGUUAAUCAUUAAAGACUCUUAAUAUUAAUUUGUAAAAGUUUAAGAAUUUUAUUUAUCCUAAAAACAUACCACAUUUUUUGUUGCAAAAUAGUGAAUAAAAAUAUAUCAUUCUUAUUUGCUAUGAAAAUAAGUGUACCAAAAUUAUUUGAAUUUCAAAAUUUUUGGCUGACUAAAACAACCAAAUUUUUUAGAUGGUUUUAGUAACGUAUUUAUUGUGCUAUAAAUUUUUUUUUCAUAUCUACAAAAUUUUGACGUUUGAGAUGACAUUGACUUAAUUAUUGAGAAGUUGUUAGCUACUAUUAAAAUUAAUCAUUUGAGACCAUUAUAUUUAUUUUUUAAAAUUUUCAGAAUUUCAUUUAUCCUAAAAAUAGACACAUUAUCCUUUCUCACUAUGAAAACAAGUGCACCAAAUUUUUUGAAUUUCAACAUUAUUUAAUAUCGUUGAUAGAAAUAUAUUAUCUAACCUCGCUAUGAAAACAAGUGCACCAAAAUUUUUUGAAUUUCAACAUUACUGGUGAACCGAAUUGAUUAAUUUUUUCAGAUGGGAGUCGAUUAAUAUAUUUAUUAAGUUAUCAAUUUUUUUUCAUGUCAAUGAAUCUUGGACGUUAGAAAUGACAUCAUCUUAUUAAUUGCCAGAAAUAGUUAAUCAUUGUUACCAUAAUGAUGAUAAUGUAGUUAAAUUAACCAUUUAAGAUAGUUAAUAUUAAUUUUAAAAAGCUUCAUAUUUUUAUUUAUCCCAAAAAUAGAAGUUGAUUUUUAUUGUAAACCAACACUAUCCAAUAAAGCUAGUGGUACUAAUCUACCAUCACAAGAAGUGUCCUCUAAAAUCUAUUUUGACAUCACAACAAAAAGGGUUGAGGUACAACUGCACAAUAAGCAUUUUUUUCUUUGUAUUUAGUGAUGCUUUUCAUCACCAUAUAGGCAACAACAUUGCAGAAUGUAAGGAUAAAUGGACGGCUGGAGCCAUUCUUUAGUGUUGCACUUUUCUUUCUUAUAAGGAAACGAAACUUUCGUCAAAUGCAUAGAACCUUGAAACCGACACUACACUAACUGUUUGAGAAUGUAGGACGAUAAAAAUAAGAGAAACUGAGGAACCACAAUGGUUGACACACCUAUUCAAGAAAAACAUUAUGGUUGUGCAUACAACUGAAAACAGAAAACUAACAUCUAGAGACCAAAACAUUAUAAGAUUCAAGAACAAAAUUAGAAAAUCAUUCGCACUUUAAAACAUAGCCAUUAAACAUAACUUUUUGACAAAGUCUAGCGCAAAUUGAUCAGAAUAUGCCAAUCCUAGCCGAAGUUAGAAUUGAGCUAGAGAUGCUCAAAAUUUGGUUCUAUAUUAACAAUAAAAAGUUGUAGAAUUUCAAAAGUUCUUCGAAACCCUAAAAUAUGAUCACAAUCUUCACCAAACCAAUUUUAAAAUACAAAGUUAUUAGUAGCAUUUUUUCGAGCAAAUUGAGAAUUUGAGAUCAUCUCUAUUAAGUCCACCUCUUUUCCAACUGAAGGACUGGCUUGAUCUAUCAUCAUCUUCUCCAUAUUCAUAUUGCUAGGGUAGACCUCAGGAAGAGCACAUAAGACAUUGCCUCCAUCCAAAAUAUGAGAGAGAUAAGCGUCCGAGUACAUACGGAUAGGCUGAUUACUCUCUUGGUCACCUAGAUAAGUUCUGGUCGGCAAGCUUGGCUCAGCAAAAGAUGGAAAAAACCCAUAAUCUAAAUUUCCACCAAAAUCCUGAUUGUUAGAAUUAGUGCUGUUGUACCCAGAAGAGUUGAAAGAAGUAGAACACUUGUCCUUCUGAUUAAUUCCAAUAUCUAGAGGAGCCUUUCCUUUAUCAUUCUUGCAGGAUGUGGAGACAUUCAGGUUAUAGCUCCCAAAUAAGUUUUGCAUGAAAUUCAUCUCAUCAUCAUAUGAGUGUUGAGCUAGAUAGGACGAGGAAUCACCAGAAGCUGAUUGAGAUAGCUCUGGAUAAAGCAUAUUGAAAUGAGCUGAUGUAGGGUCUUCUGAUAUAACGGAGUUAGAUGGGGUUAUUUGGGUAGCUGCACUGUUGACUGGUAUCAUGGUGGUGGAGCUAGGGCCUGUGCUAAUGUUGAUUAAAGAAUCAUCGUUGAAACAAGUACUCUUGAUAUACUCUUGUAGAAUGGUUGAUUGAUUUCUUCCAUUAUGUACUCCUUCAGGUUUCUUGAACUUUUUCUUGGAAUUCUGCCUUCUUUUUGUGGCAUUCCAGUGAUUCUUUAUGGAGUUUUCAGUCCUUCCUGGAAUUCUUUUGCCAAUUUCUGCCCAUCUGUUCCCAACCUCUAUAUGAGCUUCCACCAACAGUUUUUCUUCCUCCUGACUCCAUGCGUCCUUCUGAAAUAUGAUUAAUAUUGAGAAACAAGUAAACAACAAAUAUUAAACAUUAUCCUUUUAGUACAACUGUAGAAUAAUUAUAAGCAAAAAGCAAAAAAUAAAAUUUCUAACAAUAACUUUUAUUGGGUCAUAGUUAAAAACUUUCAUAACAAAUCAUGAUUCCUUGUCUGAAAAGAGUUUCUACUGUCACAUGAAAAAUGGGCUCAAAGAAUAUGAGAAGGAUGACGAAUAUGACAAAAUAUAGCAAAAUAUGCCUCAUUCACAUGUUAAUUAGUAUGUCAAAAUGCUGAUUUGGAAAAUGAAGAAAAACCCAAAAUAUGAUGGUAGAAAACUUAUUCUAGCACAAUAUAUAUUAGAAAAAAAAUACUCUAGAAACAAAUAAUGCUAUCUCCAUAGAUUAAAAAAAGCAAAAAUCUUGGACACUAAUAACUUACCAUAAGCAUAUAUGUGACCAUGAUUUGCUGGCAAAACUCUAAGGUGUAAUGUUGAUGAAAAAUUAUUGUACAUACCAAAUGUGAAGGACAGAUGAUAAAGAUUUGGAGAAUGUUCAAAAAAAUAAGUAAAUAAUUACACUUUCUCUAGAAACUUCAUCAAUCAAAAUUGUAAUUUAUAAAUCUACUCAUAAGAAAAUUGAGAGAAAAUAAUAUUUCCAAUAACAUAAAAAAAGAAGCAAAAGAAAGUUGGAAAAUUGCCAUAAUUAAAAUUCGAGUUGGAAACUUUGGAAAAGAUUCAACACCAAAAGCUACAAUGAAUCUAAGUUUUUAGAUCCAUCGUUGAUUCAUGUGAGAAUUUUUUGAACCUUAUUUGGCAGGAGGAGAGCCAAAAAUAGAAAAUAAACAACCAGAUCAUGUGAAAAAAAAAAAAGGGAUCAUGGUUAUAUCAAAUAUCAUGAACAAUCAAGUGUUAACCAUUAAGUGGCAAAAGAUGGCUCUAAAAUUAGAAAAAAUUAAAAACUAAGUGACAAAAGAUGGCAAGUAGAAAAAACCUUGAUAUCUGGACGCAAAUGGUUAUGCCAUCUUUCCCGGCACUGUUUACCGGCCCUCCCUACCAUUUUUUCAGCAAUUUGAGCCCAUUUCUUCACUCCAAAAUGCUUCACCAGCUUUCUAAGAGUGCUGCACAACAAUUAAAAGAAUAAGUGGUCAACAAAUUAACUAACACUUUCGACAUCAAACUAAUUUUUGCAUGUUACAAACAAGAUAAAUGUCCAUGAAAAAGGAACAAAUAAAAUCAACAAUAGAAACAAAGGAAACCAAGAGGAAAUCCCAUGAUCUUUACUUGUCUUCCUCUUCAGUCCACUGGCCUUUGAUUAAAGCUACAGAUGGGUCACCUUUUCCUCUCCUUCCUGUUCCUCUAGGAACUCUUGGUAAAUCUUCUUCCUUUUCUAAACCGACAUUGGGAUUCAUUUCUGGACUCAGGUUUGGAGUACUUUCUUUGUUGAAAAGAACCCCAUUGACGGAACUACUUGUGUCAUGAGAAGGAGGUAGAGUAAUUGGCCAUGAAAAUACCCCUCCUCCUCCUGCAUGGCCAUGGAUUGCACCACCGCUUGAAGAGGAAACAAAAUCAGAAUUCACUGGAACAAGGGUUGCUUUGUUCUUGAAAUUGGCAAGAAUUUCAAGUUGAGAAAAAUGCCUUUGACCACACAAGAAUCGGUCUAUGGCAGUGAGGGGUGGCCUUGGUUUAAGAAGGGGAAGGCCAAGGUGAUGAUCUCUCUGGCAGUAAUUUCCAUAAGGGAAACUUCCUCCUAACCCUCCUCCUUCCAUGAAAAGAGAGGUGUAAAGGAGUACUUAAAUGAGAAGAGGAAAGGGAUGCUUUUUAGCAAUGAAAAUAGCUUUUUUUAUGAAGGGAAAGUUCUUAAGAUUUUUUUCUGUCUUUCUUUCUUCUGUGAAGUAGAGAAGAGAAGAACACCAUGACUAAGCUUAUUACUUAUAUAGAGGAGUUGCUAAUAAGCUGCAUGCAUCAAUUGCCGUGGAUUAAGAGGAUGAUCCAACGGUUGAGGUUUGGAGGUGAGUGUAACUCCUGGGCUUCCUCUCAGACAAGAAAUAGAAAUUGAGGUGGAGAGAUUAGUGUCAUUUAUUGAGUCUUCUCUAAUUAGACAUUGAAUAAAAAUGAAUAAUUACCACAAUUGUGGAGCGUGAAGUAUUAUGCGCUAGUCAAUUUUGUCUUCCGACAUCCAAAAAAAAAAAAAAAAAAUAGUCAUAGAAUUGAAUGCAUUUUGGGAAGAAUUUCUUUUUCUUUUUUAAGCCUUAUGUCUGAAAGUGAAGUUUGUCAAUUAAUUUCUUUUUGUAAUUGCUUGUAAAAUUGGAAUUUGGUGAAGAAAGCAGGCAUUAAGACAAAACGAAUACAAUAAAUUUUACAAAAUUGGCAACUUAUUUUUUACUUGCAAAUUUGGAUUUGGUAAUGAACAAAGGGGUAAAAAUGGGGGUCAACUGAUAGUAAAAAGAGUGACAGCAUCAAUCAAAAAUAUAGGCAGUCACCUUUAUUAUUAUUUAUAGUUGCUAAAUUAUAAUUAUGAAGAAGGAAAGAAUUAUGGAAAAAAUUUAGCACAGCUUUAAUUGCUCUUGGAUGACAACUAAAUGCUUAGGAAUUUUGGGAUAACAUUACAUUGGUUUCUAAGCCUUCCACUUCCAUUUCUCUUGCCAUUUUCCCUCAUUCAUAAAUUAGGCGCGUUGGCUUCACUUUUAUUACAGGACCAGAAAUGAACAUAUAGCACUCGAUCAUCCUACGGCCAUGUCCAAAUCGGGUCCUCAAAACCAAUAUUACCAUAUUGCCUGGACUAAUCACAAACAUAAUAUAUGUUUCUUUCAAUGCUUUUUUUUUUUUUUUUUUGUAUGCUAAACUCAAAUUUGGCUUCAGAAGCCAUUAUGUUAGUUAGUUAGGUUCCUAUUCUUGGCUGACUUAAUUAGCUUUAUGAAACUAAUAGUAGUUCAAAGAUUUAAUUGGAUAUUAGUUUCCACAAUCAUCAAUUUCAAGUGGUUGGGUUUUUGUUAAAAUAAAUCUACCAUGUAUACUAUGAGCAUUAGUCAUUAUUAUUAAAAAAAAAAUUAUAUCGAGAUUAUUAGUAUUUGGUACAAGAUUGAAAAGUUGAGACGAUUCUACUUUUUUUAGAAAUUAUUAUCCACUUCUAAAAGUUUAUGAACGAUAAAUUUUUUAGUAAGCUUAUAGCAAAAAAUAAAAAUGUCAAGCAUUUCACUAUGCGUUACUUUAAGCUAUUAAAAAUAAUUACUUAUAUGAAUACUAUGCGCUAAUCUUGCAUUUACGGAGGAAGAGGGAAAAUGAGAAAGGAGGAAGAGGAGAGAGAAACAAGGCAAAGGAGAAAAUAUGCGGGAACCGAUAGUGCAUGGAACAAGAAUACUUUUUGUGUAUAAAAUUUUUUUUUAUUUUAUUUUUAGGUGUAUUUGAAAUUGUGUGUGUUUUUAUGGUUGUUAUUGUAAGGUCCACAAACAAAAAUACUUUUUGGAGGAAAAAAAAAGAAAAAAAGAAGACAUAUCCAUGUGGAGACUAUAUUUUUUCUAAAUAUUAUUUUACUUGUAUCAUAAUUAUAAUUUUCAAUCAACUUUUUUAUUUUUCAAUAAUAUUUUUGACUCGCAUACAUUACAUCACAAAUACUUCAAAUGAUCUCCUAUUCAUACACACAAAAAAGAAUUUGCUAAAAACUCUCACCACCCUCUCAUACUCACUGGACCUGCUAUAGAUGACCAGCCGCCACGCUGCAAUCCUUACCACGCCGCUUUCUUGAAUUAAUAUUUCUGAUUCAGCUGUUAGGCUCGAUCCAAGGACCCUCUAGCCCAAUGAUAGUGGGCUCAGCUCGACAUCAUGAUUAACAAUUGACUUUAGCCCGUUCAAUCAUCGCCUGAAGCAUUCAACUGCAUAUCCCAUUGAGUUGGUCAUAGACACCGAUCCGGACAUGAAAUGUCUCCGAUUGUGUCUAUCGCUUUCGGCUUCGAAGCUCCUUUGGACCCAAACUAAAUAUAUCAUCCCACCGCAGUUGAGACUUGCCAAGAGAUCGCAUUUAAUUUGAGAACAAAUCUUCGUCAAGAAGAGGAAGGGAAUGAUGCAAUUCGACCCAAACUAAAUAUAUCGUCCCACCGCACUUAGAAUUGAAGUUUAACACUUUUUUAGCCUCUUAUAUUCUAUGUCACUACAUAUUUCGAAAUUGAAAGGCAAAAAAAAAGGUCCUUAAGGCAAAUAUUUCAAGUUGUUAACGUUGAAUUUGGGGAUUGACUACAAUAAGUUUGGAGUCUUCCUUGACUUUUGUUUUAAAAGGGGAAAAAGAAAGAAAGAAAGAAAGAAAGAAAAUUCUCCCACCAAAAUUAUACUUCAAUCUUUUUUCUUUUUCUUUUUUUAGCCUCUUCUUAUACUCCACCUGACUACAUGAGGUUUUUUCAAAAUUGAAGGACAAGAAAGCCCCUAAAGCAAGGAAAUAGUACCAGGAUCCAUGGAAAUAAUGAAGUCAUCGCAGCAUUCUGCCGAACAAAUGAUUGAGAAUAAAAUCAGGAAGAAAUAGCAGCGGAUAAAAAUCCGAAUGAUGAGUGAGACUAACUUCAAUCAGAGGCCUCUACGCUGGCGGGCUGCUGACGUCAGCCUCACUCAUUUCAAUGCACAAGGAGACGAUAGAGACCUGACAAAUCAAUUGGGCCCUUAUAGCAAACCCUGGUUUGUAGAUUAAAUUACACGACCUGACUUACUCCCCAAGUCUAUUUAAUGAGCAGUAGGAGAGGUGCGCCAAAGGGAGGCAAUGGGGCAGGUGCCCGCAGGGUUGGAAAUGGGGCACAGGAUGAGGCGGGGCAGGGGGAGAAAAUUUACCCCCGCCUCAACAUACACUCAUCCCAUUUCUUGUAUACAAAAAAAUUAUAUAUAUACAUAUAUAUUUAAAUUUAUAGAUGUACAUAUAAUUCAUAUAUAAAGACAAUAUAAUAAUUUAUAUUUAAUAAUAUAAUUUUGAACAUACAAUUAUGACUUGGUCCUAUUAUAUCUCAAUCAAAUGUUUUAAUGUUAUUUUUAUGGUAUUGAGAAGUUGUUAAUCUUUUUUAGUUAUUAGUAUUUACAACUCGUUGAAUGGUCUAAUAUUUAGUAGUUGAGUAUGUCUUUAUUGAAUAUUUUGAAAUAGAAUGAAUGAUAAAAUUGUCCCGAAAAUGAGCAAAUUGAUAAAUAUAAUAUAUUGAUUUAUUCUCCUACUAGGGACCGCAAGGAAAACGAUGCAGGGGCGGGGGAUAUCUUUUCCCGCCCUAUUGCCACCCUUAAGUGCGCCUCGUGGGCAUGCAAAACUAGGGAUGGCAACGGAAGUGGAUGCCCGUGAAUACGCACUCAGAGGGAAGAAAUGGGGCAGGGGGUGGAGUGAGACAGGGGCAAGGGGAAUUUUUCUCUACCGUGUUAAAUGGGACAGGAGUGUCCCUUAUCCCCCGCCGCUUGCCUAUAUAGUAUAAUAUAUAUGUUUGUUUUUAUAUGCAUAAUAUAAAAUAAAUGCUAUGCUAUUGAUAUUAUAUAAAUCUAUUGUAUGAAAUAAGUAACAUGUUAUGUUGUUAUGAUAAAAUAAUGUAAUUUUUUUUUUCAAAAAUCUCAAAAAAAAUCAAUAAAGCUAUUAAUAUAUAUAUAUAUAUAUAUAUAUAUAAAUUGAAAAAGUUAAGUCAAAUAAAAAAAUUAAAAAUGACAGUGGGACAGAGUGGAUACACCUGCAUGGAUAGUGAGAUGCAGCGGGAGCGAGGGAAACUUUUCUGGAAUUGGACCAAUGCGGGGAAGCUUUUCCUGUUCCAAAUCCGCUCGGUUGUCAUCCCUGUGCAAAAUUGAGAAACACGUAGUAGUUGAUAAUUACUGUUACUUCGAAAAUUUAAAAGUAAGCUAAGAUUCCUUCCAAAAAAAAAAAAAAGUAAGCUAAGAAUAGCAAGUAAUGGGAAGUUAAAAGGUAGUAUUUCGCUAAUAAAGGGCAAUAUUUGCAAGCGCAAAAAAGUGUUACACCAACCUCUCCAUUUAGUAGUGGGAGCUUAUUAAUAGUAAGAUAUGUUUGUCCCGUAGCAACUCAUCCGCUGUGAACGAAGCAAGUCUAACGCUCUCAAGAAAUUUCUCUUAUGAUUCAAGGACAAGUGAUGGUGUCGACCGAACGAUUAACCGAAUGCAUAUGAUUAAAGCUAUUACUAGUAAUAUUAUUAUUACUGUGUCUUUUCUUUUUCUUGCAGGUUUCUUCCGCUUGAAUCACAAGGAAUUAGAAUUGAACAGCUAACUAAUACCACAGCUUUCCAAGACUAUAAGGUAGUCGACGGGAACAGGGGAGCUGGCCGGAAAAUCGAAGCGUGCCUGCCUAGAAAUCCCAAAACCUUUAAAUUCACGGCAACAAGCCCAUCAUGUUUGCAGAAGUUGACAAUAAAUGGGAUGGACAUGGACAUAAAUAGAAGCGAGCAGUUGGAAAGAUUGACGGAGACACAAGGCAGUCAUAUCAUAUGCAUGGGAAUGGGAUGGGACUAACAGAGGGGUAGAUUAGUAUUGCCAUCUUUCACGUGGUUCGCCUGUCUUCUUCCCCUUGGCCAAACUCCAAAACACUAGGACUCACGACCUCAUGACCGACAACACCACAUUACUUCAUUUAUCGUGAUCCUUUAUUAUAGGAAUAGGACUACUUUCCCUUCUCUCCUCUCCUAUCCGGUGCUGGGGAAGUUACAUUGAGUUGCAUCAGCCUGGUAUGAAAGAGAAUGUAUAGAGAUUGAAGUAAUCUGUUGGAUGGCAUAAUUAAACAUGCAUUCUGGCAUAAUUAAACAUGCAUAUUCCUGCUAAUUCAUCAAGUUGAUUCACCUUUAACGACUUUCAAUUGAGAUGGCCCAUGAAUUUAGUACCCCCAGUUGCCAUAAGUCACGUUUGUCCCUCGGAACCAUGAAACAUUGAUUUUGAUUGGAGUCAGCACAUCAGCCGUUUCUUCUUACUGCUCUUCUCUUUCUGUACCAUCAUAGUUCUAUGUCAUUCCAGGAUUGUAACAAAAAUCAUGAUGAUGGCCCAAGAAUGGUCCAGCGCUGCCAAGGCAACAUCCGCCACCUUUCGGUGCUGGCCAGGGUUGAAAUGGCUGCUUGUUUUUGUUGGUCAUCUUCAAGGAUGGUGACAUUAACCAAAUUUCCACUUAAAAAGCAUACCCGACGCCCAUAACCAUAUACUCGUUUAAGCAAAAGAAUGGCAUGUUACAGUGCCAUCUCACUGGGACUCUUAGUUACUACAAUUUCUUAAAACUCAAACGCGUGCGCCGCGCAGGAGCUUUCGGCAGGAGGCCGUGGAGAAGCUGAUGAGAAAGACCAACAUUCAAGCGAGUUAUCAAAGAGGAGAGCUGAAUUUGUGCACAUGGCCUAAGAAUCAAAGCCUGAGAUGCUUCAAUCGUACUACUGUUUCCAAAAGAUGGUAGCAGUGAGGAGGGAUGAUGCCUAAGAUACAGUCGACGAAAUACUAAUUAGUUAUCAAACACAUCAGGCAUUACUAUGUGUUUACCACAGCCUUUUUCCACCUAAACAAGGUUAAUCUGUUGUUAUGGCUGAUUAUUACAGCUCUCUAUUAAGAGCAAAUCCUUUGUUUAUUUGGUUAUAACCAUCCCGUCAACUGCAAUAGAAUACUCUGCAACAUGCACUUCCCUUGGUGAUACCCGCCGUUGCGUGGACAAUAGUAAAGUGUAAUUAGGUAUACGCUCCAAUGAUACAAACAGAUGAUCAAAGAUUGGACAGAUAAAGCAAUCUGACUCCAGGCACACACGAAACAAGAAGAAAAAAACACAAGGAUAAUGCUGAUAAACCUAACACUGGAUGAGAAGCAUAGACACCUUUCUCUCCUUUUCACAACAUUACAAUUAAGCGUCCAUGAUCACAUAGGAUCAUUUCAAAAAAUGGCAAUUAUAUAGUGACAAAAGUUUAAUUACAAUUGGCCAUGUGGUUGUGUCACAAAAUGCAAGCGUUGAUUGACAUUCUACCCCAAAAAGAAGAAGAAGAAGAAGAAGAAAAACAUAACUACUCUGUGCAACAGUGCAGAACCCAAAUAAAUCACCGAAUUUCCAAGUCUUCGGUGCGGGGGUAUCUUUAAAGACGAAAGCUGACGAGCAAGAAGCAAGUAGCCUAACAGGACAUGAGGCAAACAAUCUAGUCCAGUUUAUCAUCCAUCCCAACAAUUCCUCCACCCCAAAUUGAACUGAAAAAUAUCUAAAGAAAGAAGCAACAGAAAAGUCAAGAUAUGCUCAAAGAAAAGAAGAAAUAUCCAGAAGGAAAGUUUCCCUCUCUUUUCCCCUUGGCUAGUUUUAUUAUUAAAAAAAAAAAAAAAAAAAUUUCAGGUAUGCUAAUCGACAAAAAAAUAUGACGUAGGAAGCAUCAUCUCCUCUACGUCUCGUGUUUUCUCAUUUUUCCUUUUCUUUUAUCCCACAAGUGAAUUAUGCAUCAUUCUCAGUAUCAGGAGAAUUAAGAGGAAAACAAGUAUCCUCCCCACCAGUACUCCAGAGGAAAUGGGCAUAGUUAGCUGCAUAAUAUGAGUUGCUGGGGUCUGCAGAUAUGGCUUCUAGAUAGGUCUCUUCGGCAGCCCAGAGGUCUUUCCUCACUUGC